AGGUGCUAGCAGUGGGAAGCUGUCAGCAGGUUGUAGAGAGGGUCUGUGGGAUGUGCUGAUCACAGAAGUUGGGGUCAGCAUUGCAAAAGAUUCAGGAAAUGACUUUUCAACUCAGGGGAAGAAAAAGAAAAAAAAACAACAACUUGGCAUUGUUGUCACAAAAUGAACCUUGUAGAACAGCCUCAAAAUACUGAAUUGCUUGGAGUGGAGAUUUUGUUGCUUCAGGGUGUGAUGAAAUGGUGGAGAGAAGCUGUCAAGAAGCAAAGGGCAACAGAGUACAGAAAGCACAGAUGUGAAAUGAGAACAGGCUGCUGUAGACCACCGAAUUACCAUCAAUAGCCAACCAAGGUUUUGUACAGACUUUGUGGGCUGGGAUCUCCAUCUCCUCCUCAAUCAGAGAGCCCAGGGAAGCGCUCAGACUUGAGCAUCCAAAGAGCUGACAUGGCUGGGAACUAAUUUGAUGAUUUUCCUUCCUUCCUCCACAUCGUUGUCUAACCAGAGGAGUUUGUGAUAGGAACCUGCAGAUCUCAGAAAAGGGCUAGGACACAGUCUGCUGCAUGGUGUUAGAGGAGAAACCCUGCUGUCGGGGCAGCUGGCUAAAUCAUUCCUCCCGAAAGAUUUGCCCUCAAAUCUCAAAGUCUACAGAAAACUGAUGGCUUGGGCUUGUGCAGGUGAUGAGAUGACACUUGAGCCAUUUGAAUUCUUGAGGAGUGAAGCUUCUGCCUACAGAGCCUGGAGCUGUGUGGGGUGCCUGGCAUGCAGGGCCCUGUCCCCAGGCAAGCAUCUGCCCGCACACACCGGAGCUAGUGUCUCUGGUCCUUGGGAGCAGCAGCAUCCGCUCGUGAGCCACCCCUGCAAGAGCCCUGCUCGUCACCCCACUGAGACCGAGAGUGAAAAGGCAGCUCGUAAUCCCGAGAGCGGGCAGGGCUGCUGCAGGGACAGCCCCGUGCGUCAGACCCCACACCACAGGGCGCAGCACCACCGCCCGUGCAAGCCUCUCGCUAUGAGACAGCCAGAGCCACCGCUCCUCCAUCUUACGGGUAACGCCGGAGCACAAAUGAAUAGGCGUUGAGCUUAGAUUUCAUUUGUCGAAAUACUGAAAAUGGAGCCUCACAGAGCAGGGUGGGAUUGGCACCUGCGCAUAGGUUUUGUCCUGUCUUAAAAAGGAUGCUCGGGUCUCGUGCACUGGUGGCUCCGCGGGAUGCUGGCACCAGAGACGAGGACGAGCCCUUCCCAGAAACCUGGCCCUGAGCGCUAACAGCGUGCUGCCAUUCUGCUGCUGGCUUUAGUAACCCCGCUGCACCGCAGGUGAGCCAGGCUCUUGCCACCACAGCACAAAUAGGAAAGUGACAACCCGUGAGCCCCGUGCCUGCUUCCUCCUGCGCCGCUCCGGUGCCGUGUUUGCUGCGCUGGGGCGCGCUGCUCGGUGCUCUCGCUGCUCCUGACCUCUUUCAUGACAAAAGCCCCAUUUUCAGGGUCACGUGGUGCUGAAAUCUAGGGCGCAGAGAGGCAUUAGUAGC